rnacentral:rRNA from 1 species
CUCGCGUGUCGUGCCAGCAGCCGCGGUAAAACGUAGGUCACAAGCGUUGUCCGGAAUUACUGGGUGUAAAGGGAGCGCAGGCGGGAAGACAAGUUGGAAGUGAAAUCCAUGGGCUCAACCCAUGAACUGCUUUCAAAACUGUUUUUCUUGAGUAGUGCAGAGGUAGGCGGAAUUCCCGGUGUAGCGGUGGAAUGCGUAGAUAUCGGGAGGAACACCAGUGGCGAAGGCGGCCUACUGGGCACCAACUGACGCUGAGGCUCGAAAGUGUGGGUAGCAAACAGGAUUAGAUACCCCUGGUAGUCCACACUGUAAACGAUGAUUACUAGGUGUUGGAGGAUUGACCCCUU